rnacentral:lncRNA from 1 species
GCUUAGGUUAGAUGAGUAACACACAUAAUUGGCUCGAGUUAUAUCUGUUUUACAGGAAAACUCUGUCUUUAGUUGUCCAUUCACAUAAACAAGAAUCUUUUUGAUAUCUUCCACGUGAAUCCUCAAUUCAAAGGUGUUUUGGAAGUAGUCGUUGACCACGUCUUUAUCCUUAAGAACCGUUUCUUUCCCCCAUUUACCAUGGUGACGGGUAUUCAUUACAACCUUCGACUUUGGUUCUCUUGGGUUGAAUUGGAAAGUAAUAUUUUCAUUAUCAUCUUUAUCCUCUAGAAGAUUGACAGCAAACCCAC